GAGUUUGAUCCUGGCUCAGGACGAACGCUGGCGGCGUGCUUAACACAUGCAAGUCGAACGGAGCGAAAUGGAAGCUUGCUUCUAUGGAGCUUAGUGGCGAACGGGUGAGUAACGCGUAAUCAACCUGCCCUUCAGAGGGGGACAACAGUUGGAAACGACUGCUAAUACCGCAUACGAUUCAACUUCGGCAUCGAGGAUGAAUGAAAGGUGGCCUCUAUUUAUAAGCUAUCGCUGAAGGAGGGGAUUGCGUCUGAUUAGCUAGUUGGAGGGGUAACGGCCCACCAAGGCGAUGAUCAGUAGCCGGUCUGAGAGGAUGAACGGCCACAUUGGGACUGAGACACGGCCCAGACUCCUACGGGAGGCAGCAGUGGGGAAUCUUCCGCAAUGGACGAAAGUCUGACGGAGCAACGCCGCGUGAGUGAUGACGGCCUUCGGGUUGUAAAGCUCUGUUAAUCGGGACGAAAGGUCCUCUUGUGAAUAAUUAGAGGAAUUGACGGUACCGGAAUAGAAAGCCACGGCUAACUACGUGCCAGCAGCCGCGGUAAUACGUAGGUGGCAAGCGUUGUCCGGAAUUAUUGGGCGUAAAGCGCGCGCAGGCGGAUUAGUCAGUCUGUCUUAAAAGUUCGGGGCUAAACCCCGUGAUGGGAUGGAAACUGCUAAUCUAGAGUAUCGGAGAGGAAAGUGGAAUUCCUAGUGUAGCGGUGAAAUGCGUAGA
rnacentral:rRNA from 1 species